GAAACCUGGUUGAUCCUGCCAGUAGUCAUAUGCUUGUCUCAAAGAUUAAGCCAUGCAUGUCUAAGUAUAAGUGACACUAACAACGAAACUGCGAAUGGCUCAUUAAAUCAGUUAAAAUCUACAGUGUGGUACAAAUUACUACAUGGAUAACCGUGGUAAUUCUAGAGCUAAUACAUGCACAAAGUCCCGACUUC
rnacentral:rRNA from 1 species